rnacentral:rRNA from 1 species
UUUUAAAUGGAGACUUGUAUGAACGGCAAAACCUUUUUCAGCUGUCUCCUUUUCUACCCUUUUAAAUUUCUUUCUGUGUGAAGAAGCACAGAUACACAAGAAAGACGAGAAGACCCUGUCGAGCUUUAGCCACUAAGUGAAUAAUAUUGCCCAUUAAACAUCACCCAAAGGCUUUGGUUGGGGCAACCAAGGAGAAAAAAAAUCCUCCAGAACAAACAGAAGAAAACCCUUCACUGAUAACUUCCUAAAGAACCAAAAAUUGGCAUUCGGAAAAAGUUACCGCAGGGAUAACAGCGUAAUCCUCUUUGAGAGUCCUCAUUGACGAGAGGGUUUGCGACCUCGAUG